rnacentral:rRNA from 1 species
UGGGGAAUAUUGCACAAUGGGCGAAAGCCUGAUGCAGCAACGCCGCGUGAGUGAUGAAGGUCUUCGGAUUGUAAAGCUCUGUCUUUUGGGACGAUAAUGACGGUACCAAAGGAGGAAGCCACGGCUAACUACGUGCCAGCAGCCGCGGUAAUACGUAGGUGGCGAGCGUUGUCCGGAUUUACUGGGCGUAAAGGGUGCGUAGGCGGAUGUUUAAGUGAGAUGUGAAAUACCCGGGCUUAACUUGGGUGCUGCAUUUCAAACUGGAUAUCUAGAGUGCAGGAGAGGAGAAUGGAAUUCCUAGUGUAGCGGUGAAAUGCGUAGAGAUUAGGAAGAACACCAGUGGCGAAGGCGAUUCUCUGGACUGUAACUGACGCUGAGAC